GGACAAAGGCGGCCACGGAGAACAGGCUGAUCCCCGACACCAGGAAGAAGAGCAAGCCCCACAGCUUCAUGCACGUCUGGCCCUUCAGGAACCCAGCCGAGCUCUCGUCUCUCACCUCUGUCUCAGGGCUGGACUUUGGUCCGGCUGGAUGCCAUGCUGCAGCGCCGGGCCCGAGGAGGGGCUGACGGCGCCUGGCUGGGCUGGUGGAGGGGCCCUGACCCUACAACUGUCCCCGAGAGAAAAGUAAAACCGCCUGAACGACUUGUGACAAGAGCUGCGGAAAUGGGGGGUAGGAAAGCGAGCGGGAGAGACUCACGGCAGAGGGACGCGGGAGCCACUGCUCCUCCGCAACGGGUGGUCCUGGAUUUGUGCGCUAACGGGCUGCUGGAGUCGUCAGAAGUGUGUGUCGAGAGGGAAGAUGGAGGCACAGAAGCGACACGCUGAUAAUCCCUAGCUCCAGCGCCCGAGGACGUUGGGAGCUGGCAGAAGGCCCCGCGGUUGGGCAGCAGCCAAGCAGCCAGUCGGAGACAGACAAAGGUGCUGCAGAGGCUUGCCGACGCUCCGCCGUUGAAGCUUGGCGUUCACGUCUCCUCCUGCCUGUCUCUGCUGAACCCAGCGAGCCCCGCACGUCGGGCAGGGCUGGAGGUGCUGGAGGGCCGCAGCGUGGGCCGCGUGGACACGGUCUGCUGGGCCCCGCGCUUGUGAUAUGCUUAAAUACCCAGUGGGGCCGGUUCCUGCCGCCUAGAUCUCGACAAACCUGCCCGGUGGGAAGCAGCCAGGAUCAUCACCUCCACCCACGCGCCGCGCGUGAUUUGGCACGGCAUCCUGAAACCUCCCCGGCGGCUUCCUGUUGUGCUAGCGCAAGCCGGGAGGAGCUUGAAACACAUUUUUCAGAGGGCUGAACGGGGCCAAAGAAGGCCGUCGGCCCAAGCCUUUGGCUGGAGCGUUACCCAGAGCCGCCGCUCCCAGGACCGUGGUCCCGGAGAGCUGAGCUGGCCACCAUCAGGGCAGAGGAUGGGAAUCCCCCGCGGACGACAAAACCCCUCGCUGGCACCGGGGUCCGUGUCUUAUGCUCCCCUCCUUGGUCCUUAAACCACUUCACAAACAGCGGCGGACUGGGCCUCAUCAACCCCUGCUUCCCCACAGGGAAGUAACGCAGCAGCUCCAGGGGCCGCUGGCAGCCCAUCAAAGCCCCUGGAGACGGGGCCGGCCCUGCGACUGUCCCUGGCUGCAGUGGGAGCCGGGUCCUGCCGUCGCACCGAGCCCGGCGUAGCCGCGUGGGCACCUACCUUAGACAGCGCUGUCUGGGCUGGGGCUGAUGUGGGCUGCAUGUGGUGGUCUUAGCGUCCCCUUGGCCUCUGCGCGCUGCUCACACAUUUGGGUCCUCAUGCUCCCCGUGCCCAUCUGAAUUUAUACACAGUCUCGUGCUGGUUUUGGUCCCCCAAUUCCUGUCCCGCCUUCUUUGCCUUUCCUCUGGGAAGCUGACACAUGCCCAGGCCCUUCGGAGAGGAAUCCUCCGCCAAGGCAGUAAUUAGCUGGGGAUGAGGUCGAAAUUCUGGCUGCGCGAGUGGCAGCCACGGGGCUGAGCACAUGGGAGGCGCCGCCUCCCCGCGCCUGAGUCACCUCCGAGCCGCGCUCCUGGCCUGGAGCCAAGCGUCACCCGAACCCGCUCCUGGCGCCAUUCGCCCGCGCGCCCUCCGACGCUGUCUGCCCGCGUGGCGGGGCUGGGCCUGGGCGCCAGGGAUGCUUCAAAAUUGUGCUUCUUAAAGCUGGUCUCUUCUUUGUGUCCGUUCUUGGCACCGGGCUUUGCCCCCCACUAACACGCAGAGCGGACGGGGCUGGAUGAAUGGCAUGGGCCGGAUUGGACCUGUGAGCCAGGAUUGGGCCCCGCGCUGCCUCUCCCGGCCUCCCGCCCCGGCAGGGCCCUGUGCCGCUGGAUUAGGCCUCACUCUGUCUCCAUCGGCCCCGUGCCACAGGAUCAGGCCCCGGGCCACCUCUGCCACCUGGCCUGGGGUCUCCCUGCAGGUCUGCAAACUCGGCAGCAAGAGCCGUCGCUCCCCCUGCACCACCCCAUCUUCAGACCCGCAGGACCGUGCAGCCAGGGGCACAGCUCCACCGGCAGGAUCUGGCCCACGGGCAGAGGCUUGCGCCGCGCUGGGCUCGACGCGCCCCGGGUGCAAGGGAGGCACGUGAUCUGAGCCAGCCACGGCCACCAUGUUUCCCCGCCACGGCUUCUCCCACAGGCACAGGCGAAGCCGGGACACCGCCAAAGUCCCCUGCCGCCAAUACAUGACAAGCCCCCUGCUCCACAGCCUGGAUUCACGCCUCCGCGGGCCAGAGCCAGCCAACAGGCCCUACGCCCCUGGUCUAAAGAAGGGGAUUUCUGUGACGCGUGGGCUUCAAACACCAGCAGAGAUAUAGCGCCGACAUCAAGGAGGCCACUGAGAGCCAAGAUCUCCCUCCCGGGGCUCCAAGGCGCUACUCACCAAGGCACCCCCGGGGGUUACAAGAAACAAUGGCCACAAGCUAGCAGAGACCAGAUUUAGACUGGACAUUAGGAAGAACUUCACAGUUCGAGUGGCCAAGGUCUGGAACGGGCUCCCAAGGGAGGUGGUGCUCUCCCCUACCCUGGGGGUCUUCAAGGGGAGGCUGGAUAGGCAUCUAGCUGGGGUCAUCUAGACCCAGCACUCUUUCCUGCCUAUGCAGGGGGUCGGACUCGAUGAUCUAUUGAGGUCUCUUCCGACCCUAGCAUCUAUGAAUCUACGAAUCUAUGAGUCCCUUGAAGAGGAGGAAGGCGGUGCGGGGGCUUCCCGGUGGCGCUGGGCUCUGGUUCUGCAACGCCCCUUCGCUCCGGGCUUCAGGCCACGCUUGCUCCUCUGUGCAGUUACGUGGGCACGUGGUGGUGGCUGAGGCAGUGCCCCUGCCAUGUCCCCGCGUCUGUGCCAGUGCUGCACCCCCCAGGGCCAGACAGCCCUCGCUGAAGAUGCCCAAUCGGCUGGUGCAGGAGGGGGCAAGCCCUGGGAACAAGGGCAGAGGCCCUGGCUCCUGUGGGCGGGAGGACGGGGGGGACCUUUGGCUUUAGACACAGGUGCUGUUCCCGCUCCUCGUGACAUGCGUCUGGAAGGGCCCAGCCCAUCUCCGCCUGGGUCGGCCUGCAUGGGCAGGAGUCCAGAGUCCCUUAGGCUCGUAGACAGCGAGGGCUGGAAGGGACCUGGGGAGGUCACAUCACGUCCAAGCCCCUGCUCCAAGCAGGACCAGCCCCAACUCCAUCAUCCCAGCCAGGGCUUUGUCUACCUGGGGCUUAAACACCUCUAAGGAUGGAGACGCCACCACCUCGCUGGGUAACCUGUCCCAGUGCUUCACCUCCCUCCUCGUGAGAGAGUUCUUCCUAAUAUCCAACCUCAACUCCCCUUGCUGCAGCUUGAGCCCAUUGCUCCUUGUCCUGUCGUCUGCCCCCACUGAGACCAGCCCCGCUCCAUCCUCUUUGCAGCCCCCCUGCAGGGAGGUGAAGGCUGCUAUUCAAUCCCCCUCGGUCUUCUCUUCUGCAGACUCAAUCAGCCCAUUUCCCUCAGCCUCUCCUUGCCAGCCCUGUCCCCCAGCCCCAUUUUCAUUGCCCUCCACUGGACUCUCCCCAAUGUGUCCACAUCCUUUCUGUAGGACAGGGGGGAGGGGGGACAUGCACAGCUGGACACCAGACUCCAGAUGUGGCCUCCCCAGGGCUGAAUAGUGGGGAAGAAUCGCUGCCCUCGACCUGCCGGCACCGCUCCUGCUCACGCCGCCCAGGAUGCCGUUGGCCUUCUUGGCACCCAGGGCGUCCUGUUGGCUCAUCUUUAGUGUCCGGCCCUGGGCCGGUGAAAGGCAGGACUGCGCUGCCCGGCCUUGUCACAGUUAAUAGCUCUCUGAUGGCUUUGUUUGUGCCGUGGCUUUGCUGCCAGGACGCCUGCUGUUUUGUCACGCCCAUGCCUGGAUUUUCCUGUGGUUGCUCCCGCUCCCGCACUGCAAUCGGGUGUAGUGGGAAUCUCGCCGAGCGCCCACGACGCAGGUGCCGGCUUCAGGGCACCGUGGGAGUCGCUGGGGUUUAGCUGCCAGCCCGACUGGGCUGAGCCCUGGCUGCUGGGGCCGCGUGAGGCGACCCCCGGCAGCAUGUCCGGCAGUCGCAGAGAGGAGGGGGUGCCAGCGGCUUGUCCCCACCGCCCGGGUGCCUGGAGCCCCCGUUUCAUGCCAUGGCCGGCGUCCCCCGUUCCCCUUCCCCCAUAGCAGGAUCUUCAUCCUCCCCUUUCCCAGAGGCCUUCAUCUGCCCCGUGCGCUCGGCCCCACAUCUGCCCGACAUGCUGGGCUCCCCUGUUCCCCCCCCCGCGGGAGUGCCAUUAACCCCCAUGUCCCCUUCCCCUCUGUGGCCUGCUCUUUUCCCCCGUGCCAGGCUCUGCUGUUCCCCUCGGGCCGGGGGCCCGAUCCUUCCUGGUCCCCUGCUCUGCGCCUGCCCCCUGCCCUGUGGACCCGGGACGGCGGGCAGGGUGGUGCCACUUGGCACCACCGCAACCUUGCCCGGGCAGGAGCAGCUGCUGCGCUGAGUCACUGCAAGGGACACCCUGGACUCUGCCUUCUUGUUUGCUGGCACUGAUAGCAAAGCUGCCGCAAAGCCAGCUGGUCCCAGCUGCACCGGGGACCGUGGUGAGCUGGGCAUCGCGACAGCCCCGGGCAGGCCCUGGAAGGGGCAGCAGGGACGGGGCCGUCCCAGUCGAGCUGGUGCAGAAGCAGCACAUGCUGCGCUCUCCGAACAGGGCAGGGAUCCCCGCACAAGAGCCCUGAGCCCCGGGGAUGCCGGCUGAACUCGGCCCCUGCGGCUCUAUCCAAAUGAAGCUCCCUCCUGGCCCAGCCCGGCGAGACCAGCCCUGUCUUGCAAAACCUGCAGGAAACGGAUGUGCCGCGCGCGCGCCGCCUGCCUGCAGAUGCAGCCUGGCAGAAGCUCACGGCACGUGCCGCAGGGAUCUGAACACGGAGCAGGGAUUUGGGUGCUUGGAGGCACUCGGUGCUGGAGGGGAAGGGCCUGGGUUAUUUAAGGGCUUGGGUGAACCUGCCCCCACCCUCAGGACUGGAACAGGGCGCGGCAGACGUGCAUGCGGGCCAGGCCCCGGGAGGUGGGACACAGUCAGGCCCCAGGGUCCCGGCAGCAUGGCCGGGGCGGGGGUCGCGCCACAGGAUGCCUGUUCUGUGCCGCACGGCAGUGCCCGAGGGCCAGGCCAGGCCGGCUGGGGCGGUGCGGUCACCGCCCCGGCGCCCCCAGGGAUGACGGCGCCGUGGGGCUGCAGAGCUACCGGUUCUUGCCCCGGGACUGGCCCGUGCAGCCUCCGGGCCAGGGAGCACCCGGGGCCUGGGGCAGGGGAGAGAGCCCUGGCAGCCGCUCAGCUGCGGCUGGGAGCAGGUGGCUCCGGUCCAAGCCCUGAGAAGGGGCAGGAAUCGAGGUCUCCCGUGCCCAGGCGAGCCCCUGCCCCGGUGCUGUCUCGCGGCUCUGCGUGCACGGAGCCAGGCCCGCCUGGGCUGCACCUCCCAGGGGCCGCGGCCAUGUUUCGGACACCUGGUUCUGAGCACACUUUUCUGCCCGUGCCGGCCGGCUUGGUCGCAAAGCAAAGGAAGCAAUCAGCCGGUCACGCUACACCAGUAAUGAGAGCCAAUUAGCAGAGUAGGAGGCUGCAAAUUAGACAGUCCAGUGAGGCCACAUCAUAGCUUUGGCUUGAUUAGUGUCACCAGCUGCAUUAGCUGCUCUGUAACGUGCAUUUUUCUCAUUAAGAUUCUUGAGUCCAUUCUUAAUGCGAGGAAGGCGGCCACGGCGCCGCGCGCACACGUACGGGAGACCGAGGCCGGCGCUGAACCGCGUUCCCCGACCGCGGGAAGAAGGGGGUGAGGAACCCUCCCUUUCCCUUUCCUAAGGACGCGGCUCCCAGCUGGCUCAUGCCUCGAGCCCGGGUCAGCCCCGUCCUCAGCGCUUCAGCAAGAGCGUGACGAAGAAGGAAGGAAAGAAAGUCUUUUUUCUUUCUUUUUCUAAAUCUGCUUUUACUAUUUAUGAAGGAAGGAAUGAAGGAAAGCAAGAAAGACUUUUAUUUUUACUUUUUAAACCUGCUCUUAACAUUUUAGGGAGGAAGGAAGACUGUUGAUUUUUUUAAACCUGUUAAUAUUUUUUUAAGAAGGAAGGGGGAAACAAACUUUUAAUAUUUGUAGAAGAGAGAGCGAAGGGAAAAACGGCGGCAGACAUUGAAACAAGACCGGUCCGAGGCCGUUGUCUGGCUCGCGGCAGAUAACCGCCAAGCUGUGCCGGCAGGGCCUCCCGAGGGCACCGCCGUGAGUCCAGCCGCCCGCUCUGGCCCGGCCCCCCCCGGACAAGUCCUCAUGCAGCCCCUUGCUGCCCCCGCGCCAACUGCCCAGCGGCCCAGCUCGGGGGCAGGAGCGGCCGCACGGGGGCUGCGGGGGCCCUUCUGCUACCCGCCAGGCUGCGGUUGGGGCCCCGGGGCCGAGCUGGGCCGGGCGAUGCUGCAGCCGCGGGGCCGAGGUGCAGGUGUCGGCCCACGUGCCCGCUGGGGCUGCUGUUGUGGCAGGUGGGCGUGGGCGGCGCGGGGAAGUGUGUCAGCCUCCAGGAUCAGCACAUCCGCUGGGAACGACUCCAGGGCCCUGGCGGGCGGCUGGGCCCAAACCGCCCCUGCCUCGUCCUUCCAGGGACGGUGUCCGCAGCAGCCUGCUGCCGGGCUGCCCCGCCAGGGCCAUUCCCCAGCCGACUCCAUGCACGUCGCACAGGCUUGUUACCCCUUUGGCCCUGAGUCCAGCCCUUUCCCCCAGGGCUGUGCCCAUGACCCGGGGGCCGCCGGGCUUUGGAAGGGCUGAACCCAGCAAGGCGUGAAGGCUGGAGGGCUGGGCUUGGACCUCUGAGCUUUCCAUGCCCCUGGCCUGCAGCCUGGGUUGACUUUGGCAGGUCAAAGCUUUGCUGUGAACUGUAUUUUUUACUUAAAAUUAAAAUUGCUUUUACUGGCAUGUGGA